rnacentral:rRNA from 1 species
CGGAGGGUGCGAGCGUUGUCCGGAAUCAUUGGGCGUAAAGGGCGCGUAGGUGGCCUGUGCAAGCGUGCGGUGAAAGCUCGGGGCUCAACCCCGGGUCGGCCGUGCGAACUGCUGGGCUCGAGCACUGUAGAGGCAGGCGGAAUUCCGGGUGUAGCGGUGGAAUGCGUAGAGAUCCGGAAGAACACCGGUGGCGAAGGCGGCCUGCUGGGCAGUGGCUGACACUGAGGCGCGACAGCGUGGGGAGCAAACAGGAUUAGAUACCCUGGUAGUCCACGCCGUAAACGAUGGGCACUAGGCGCUUGGGGGAGCGACCCUCCGAGGGCCGGCGCUAACGCAUUAAGUGCCCCCGCCUGGGGAGUACGGCCGCAAGGCUG